CACGUAGUUAGCCGAUGCUUUUUCUUCGGAUACACGCAGUCCGGGACACGUCCCGGGUUUUGUUCUCCGACAAAAGAGGUUUACAACCCAUAGGGCCGUCUUCCCUCACGCGGCUUGGCUGGUUCAGGAUCUCUCCCAUUGACCAAUAUUCCUCACUGCUGCCUCCCGUAGGAGUCUGGUCCGUGUCUCAGUACCAGUGUGGGGGACCUUCCUCUCAGAACCCCUACGCAUCGUCGCCACGGUGGGCCGUUACCCCGCCGUCAAGCUAAUGCGCCGCAUGCCCAUCCCCUUCCGAUGAAUCUUUCCUCGAUCUCGGAUGCCCGAAACCGAUAUACGCGGGAUUAGCCUCCCUUUCGGAAGGUUGUCCCCCUGAAGAGGGCAGGUUGCAUACGUGUUACUCACCCGUGCGCCGGUCGCCGGCAAGGAAAGCAAGCUUUCCUCCCGAUGCCCCUCGACUUGCAUGUGUUAAGCCUGCCGCUAGCGUUCAUCCUGAGCCAGGAUCAAACUCU
rnacentral:rRNA from 1 species